rnacentral:rRNA from 1 species
UACGGGGGGGGGCAAGCGUUGUUCGGAAUUACUGGGCGUAAAGGGCUCGUAGGUGGCCAACUAAGUCAGACGUGAAAUCCCUCGGCUUAACCGGGGAACUGCGUCUGAUACUGGAUGGCUUGAGUUCGGGAGAGGGAUGCGGAAUUCCAGGUGUAGCGGUGAAAUGCGUAGAUAUCUGGAGGAACACCGGUGGCGAAGGCGGCAUCCUGGACCGGCACUGACGCUGAGGAGCGAAAGCCAGGGAGCAAAGCGGG